rnacentral:rRNA from 1 species
CCGGAGAUAGCUGGUUCUCCUCGAAAUAGCUUUAGGGCUAGCCUCAUACAAGUCUGCCGGAGGUAGAGCACUGAAUUUCCGCGGGGGCGUCAAAGCCUACCAAAGAAUAUCAAACUCCGAAUGCCGGACAGAUGGUGUAUGGGAGUCAGACUGUACGAGAUAAGUUGGACAGUCAAAAGGGAAAGAGCCCAGACCGCCGGCUAAGGUCCCAAAGUGGGUGUUAAGUGGAAAAGGAUGUGGGAUCUCUAAGACAACCAGGAUGUUGGCUCAGAAGCAGCCAUUCAUUAAAAGAGUGCGUAACAGCUCACUGGUCGAGAGGUCCUGCGCCGAAAAUGUCCGGGGCUGAAACACCACACCGAAGCCGCGGAACCCGUAAGGGUUGGUAGAGGAGCAUUCUUAGGGGAGCGAAGCAUUACCGGAAGGGGAUGUGGACCGCUAAGAAGAGAGAAUGCCGGAAUGAGUAGCGAGAGCAAGGUGGGAAUCCUUGCGGCCGAAUAUCCAAGGUUUCCAGAGUAAAGCUGAUCUGCUCUGGGUAAGUCGGGGCCUAAGGAGAGGCAGAGAUGCGUAUCCGAUGGACAGCAGGUUUAAGAUUCCUGCACCCCUUGUUAUCAGAACUGCGGGGACACGGGAAGGGAAGCAGAGCCGGGAAUGGAAAGCCCGGUGCAAGCGAAGUAGUCGCAGGGUUGGAAAAUCCGCCCUGCAUGAGACGAAGGCGUGAUGCGGAGCGAAAUGAAGUAGUGAAGCUGCGGCCCCUUCCUGUCGAGAAAAGCCGCUAUCGUGUAGCAAGGGCCCGUACCGUAAACCGACACAGGUGGAUGAGGAGAGGAUCCUAAGGCCGGCGGGAGAAGUGUUGUUAAGGAACUCGGCAAAAUGACUCCGUAACUUCGGGAGAAGGAGUGCUGCGCAAGCAGCCGCAGAGAAAUGGCCCAAGCAACUGUUUAGCAAAAACACAGGUCUAUGCGAAACCGAAAGGUGAGGUAUAUGGGCUGACGCCUGCCCGGUGCUGGAAGGUUAAGGGGAGAGCUUAGCGCGAGCGAAGGUUUGAACUUAAGCCCCAGUAAACGGCGGCCGUAACUAUAACGGUCCUAAGGUAGCGAAAUUCCUUGUCGGGUAAGUUCCGACCCGCACGAAAGGCGUAAUGAUUUGGGCACUGUCUCAACAACACACCCGGUGAAAUUGAAAUACCAGUGAAGAUGCUGGUUACCCGCGCCAGGACGGAAAGACCCCAUGGAGCUUUACUCCAGCCUGAUACUGGGAUUCGGUAUUGCAUGUACAGGAUAGGUGGGAGGCUGAGAACUCAUGGCGCCAGCCGUGAGGGAGCCGGUGUUGGGAUACCACCCCUGCAGUACUGGGUUUCUAACCUGCGCCCGUGACCCGGGCGGGGGACAAUGUCAGGCGGGGAGUUUGACUGGGGCGGUCGCCUCCGAAAGGGUAUCGGAGGCGCUCAAAGGUCUCCUCAGGAUGGUUGGAAACCAUCCAGAGAGUGCAAAGGCAGAAGGAGGCUUGACUGCGACACCGACGGGUGGAGCAGGUACGAAAGUAGGACUUAGUGAUC